GCAAAACAUUUAUGGGUGCAGGUCUCUGCCAGUGGGCUUGAUAUGCAGAAAUUGUGCUACACCACCAUAGCACCUCAUCAACCAGCUUUUCCUCGAGGCCAAGCUUCCCCAGAG